GACGAACGCUGGCGGCGUGCUUAACACAUGCAAGUCGAACGGAAAGGCCCUGCUUUUGUGGGGUGCUCGAGUGGCGAACGGGUGGGUAACACGUGAGUAACCUGCCCUUGACUUUGGGAUAACUUCAGGAAACUGGGGCUAAUACCGGAUUGGAGCUCCUGCUGCAUGGUGGGGGUUGGAAAGUUUCGGCGGUUGGGGAUGGACUCGCGGCUUAUCAGCUUGUUGGUGGGGUAGUGGCGUACCAAGGCUUUGACGGGUAGCCGGCCUGAGAGGGUGACCGGCCACAUUGGGACUGAGAUACGGCCCAGACUCCUACGGGAGGCAGCAGUGGGGAAUAUUGCACAAUGGGCGGAAGCCUGAUGCAGCAACGCCGCGUGCGGGAUGACGGCCUUCGGGUUGUAAACCGCUUUCGCCUGUGACGAAGCGUGAGUGACGGUAAUGGGUAAAGAAGCACCGGCUAACUACGUG
rnacentral:rRNA from 1 species